GUCUACAGCCAUACCACCCUGAACAUGCCCGAUCUCGUCUGAUCUCGGAAGCUAAGCAGGAUGGGGCCUGGUUAGUAUUUGGAUGGGAGGAAAUAGAGGAAGGGGACA
rnacentral:rRNA from 1 species